CGUUACACCACCAUCAGAACUGACUCCUGUACACUUGGAGGGACCACCAAAAACUCUGGGUUUAAAGAGUAGUUGCUUGGACAGGCGAAACCACGGUUACAGAGACCCUCGGUUUCCAAGCAGACAUUUAUUGAGCUUGCUUUGUAGAAGAGCAGAGCAUAACCUGUACAGGUAAAACAGAGAGGAAAGAGCGAUUACCGAGGCCAAGGAAAAUCACCUGCUGAGCAGGAGG
rnacentral:lncRNA from 1 species